rnacentral:lncRNA from 1 species
GCUAUUAGUAAUAAACGGGUUCCAUUGUCAUCUUUUUAUUUUCGAUAGUGGAACAUCCAAAUCGAUGAUUAGUAUCCUUGAACAUGAUCUAUACUACUUGAAAUAUCUAGAAAUUAAAUUUCAAAUCAUUUCAACAUCAUUGACCUAAUAAUCAAAGGGUUUCAAAAUUCGUAAUUUUAAUGAUCGAUAUGAUGUAUUUUCUCGUUUAACAGUAUAAAGAUAACCAAAUCAAUUGAAUUUUUUUUUUAGAGAUAGGUAGCACGCUACCCGCUUCGCUUAUUUCAUUUAGAAAUAAACUUAGCUAGAAAUGUGAAUCAACUAAGAUUCGAACUUGAAACCUCGGGUACCAUCCACUAAGCCCUUUGCCACUUGCUCUAGGGACGGUCGAUAAAUCAAUUGAAUUUUAGUUAGAAAAAUUUCUUAACUAUUUAGAACAAGAUCUAUACUCUCGAUCUUGAUUACACAAUUCCUAUCAUUACUUUUUAAAAAAAAUUCAUUUUUAGUCAUUCAUUUGUGUCCACUUGAUGGAUAAGAGAACAAUAUUGAAAAAACAUAAAAGUUGGUUUCUAAAUACUUCAAGUGAUAUAGAUUAUGCUCAGCCGGCGCCAAUCGUUGAUUUGAAGGCUCCAUCAUUGAAAAUAAAUAAGUGGCAACAGAGUCUGUUUGCUACCGAUAGUAUUCCAGCUCAACUAUAUAUAUAGAAUAAGACUAUUGUGCUCAUGGGAGCACGGAGGCCUCCGUAGUACUCCUAAGUCGUUUUCGAUGAUAAAAUUUUUGAAUCGACGAUCGGCUCCAUUAAACUUGAUAUAUGUAGCUUAUUUGAAAUAUCUAUAAAAUAAAUUUUAUAAUUUUUCAAUAUCAUUUAUCCAGUGACCAAAAGGGUUUAAAAUUAAUAAUUUUUAAUGAUUGAUAUCUACCGUUUUUAAAUUUAACGGUAUAGAAGUAUCCAAAUUAUGUAAAAUUUUGCUAAAAAUUUUUUUAUAUUGUUUACAACAAGAUUGAUAUUUCUGAUUAAAAAUUUUAGUACUAUAUCACCACUUUUUUAUAUUUUUAUUUUUAAUAUUUGAUUUUAAUCUUUUUGGAUCACUAAGUAAAUAAUAUCAAAAUUUACAAUAUUUAUUUUUUAAAUACUUCAAAUAUGGUAGAUCAAGUUUAAUAAAGCCAAUCAUAGAAUCUUCCAAGUACAAAGUACAAAUUUUCUGCCAUUAAAUCUAUCCAUUUAACCAUUUUCGUCUAUUACACCAUACUAUUUCACCAACCACCCAUUAAACCUUAAAGGGCCACUAUCAUCCUAACCACUCAUUUCUUUAUCCAAGGCCGACAACCUUAUAGUACUAAUGACUUAGUACUAUUAAUUUAUUCUAGUAUAGUUCUAUAUAUAUUUCGAGGAUAAGCAGCGAACAAAAUGUUGUACUACAUAUUUAGACUAACAAAGCGUGCAAAAAGUACUAAUUGACAUUCUCACGAGCAUACUCUAAUCACUUUUCAUAUACAUUUACAAAUGUUAAAAGCGGCUCAAAGAGAGAUGUGAACCACUAAAUAAUGUUAUACUUGAACGCAAACUUUGCAUCAUUUUACAAAUUAUGUGAUUCCUGAGCUUAAGUUAUUGUACGCCGAGCUCGAUCGCCAACUCAUAAUUAAUUGCACAUACAAAGUUGAGCGGCGGAGGAAACACGAAGGGAAAAGUUUUAAAUUCUUACAUUAUGAUCAUCAUUAUUAAAUUUCAUUAGAGGAUAUAAUAAUUAGCAUCAUAAUAAUCUCAUAUAUAGGGGAGAAUAUAAUAGAUUCCGAUAGUAAUCCCUCCUCUACCUCUCGUUCAUGGUAUCAUCGAUCAUACACUCGCUUUUGCUCCUCGCCACUAAUCACAUGUUGGAUUUCGCUUCGACCUUUUCCAAAAGUAAAGGAGGAAAAAAAAAAAAGAAAAAAAAAAAGAGCGGUCCAUCACUCCUCAUCUCUCAUGAGAUUCUUAACAUGGCAAUGUGUUUUAGAUUCUCGCGGUCACCACUUACCGAUUCUGAAAAGUCGAAAUCCAAUCUAGCGUCCUACACCAACCAAUUCAAACAGGAAUGAUUCUUCACUCGUUCAACUCUUUCCUUUUUCAUUUUUUUCUCUUAAUAAUUCAUUUAGUAUCUUAAAGUUUCCUUCAGAUACAGCUGAUGAGCUAGUAUUAUUCGGUAAUGGCUCGUUAAUAAUAUUUAUCGAGUCUAAAAAGUCGAGUCAUAUACGUUAGUUUGCAUGUGCCUGGCCAUUCUUUCAGUGCCUAAGGACUCCAGGUUAGUAGACCUAUACAUAAACCUUGAUAUGGUCAUGAAUGUCACUAGCCACAUGGGUGUAAUUAAUAACCAAGAUGAAGGCGCCGUAACCUACAUAUUUUAUUAAAAUUAUUAUUGGGAUUCACAAGGAGAUGCUCCCUAAAUUUUGCAUAGUUUAGUAGGGAGCCAUUUUAUUUCCCACAUAUGAAGCUCUUUGAUUACCAAGGUUACGUAAUUAAUACUCACCCAAUAGAUCGCCCAACUAUGAUUUAUGAAACCAAUUGAUUCUUACAAAGUCUCCAAACCAUUUAUGUUUUAACACGCUGGAACUUUUGGUGUUUGCAUGUUUCGUUCUACUUUUACUUUUGAACUGGUCAUAUAUAGAAUCAUUUUCACUAGAGUUUUUCAGUAGAUGUGAAUAUUUUAAAUUUUUACUGUAGGAAAAAAUAUAAAUCAAAUUUUGAGUUGGAAAAACAAAAGCUACAAUUUAGAACUUAGUGAAGAUGCUUUUUAAAAUAAUUCAUUCUAUAAUUCUAUUAUUUACUUUAUACUUCAUCAAACACUACCACCUUAAUGCAAAAAUCAACCAAGUUAUUUUUGACCAUUAUUUUACAAAAGCAAGUAGAUCAAUGAGUCACAAGGUGGGCAAGGUUUUAACUAUCAAACCGUGUAUAUAGGCCGGCGAUUCCCUCUCUACUCUACUCUUCGUCGCUUCUUCGGCACUCCACGUGGCAUUCACUCAUACUCAACGAAACAAAGACUCUAUUAUAAGAUAAAAUAAUAAAAAUAGUAACAAUACAGCUAUGAAUAAUCGACUGUUUCUAACGCAAUGACAAAAAAUUUGAUGAUUGGUACCGAUAUCUAAAUUCGAAUCCUAGUUGAUUCACAUUUCUGAUUAAAUUUAUUUUUUUUAAAAAUAAACGAAACAGAUAGCAUAUUAUUUUUUUUUUAAAUAUAUAUAUAUAUAUAUAUAUAUGGUGAUGAAUAUAUAAUAAAGCCAACACUUGGCAGCAACACUCCACCAUUUGACUGCGCCCAAAUUUGACUUGAUCUCCACGCGUUCUCUCUCCACCAGCCCUGAGGUAUCCCUUAAAUACCACUUUAGGUGCGGCCAAAAAAUAUAAGCCCCACCUCCACACAUCGUGCAAAAGUGCUUUUCUUUGUAGUUCUCUCUCAUGGCCUCUCAUGCACAAAGAAAAGCACUUCUCCUCUUGGCUCAUCUUCUAUUGCUCUUCUUUUCAAUUGAAGGUAGGAAAUUUCUGAAGGAAGAAGAGAUCAUGAGCAUGGUUCAACGCCUCGAAGUCGGUCGCAGUCAUGCUCCGCCGCGGUUCUCAACCGAUGACGAAGGUCGGCACGUCUUUGUUCGCGUAUCGGGCUUUGCGAUGAGCGGCGGUGAGGGCCGCAUGCUGCAGUCGGUACCGAGCCCUGGCAUCGGUCAUUAGUGACGUUGCUCGCUGUUCCCUCAUUCUCUUUUUCCCGACAACGCGAAAUUAAGAAAAUAUUUGCAGGUUACGUGUGAUACUUUAUUCUAUUUUUUUCUUUUUUUUCUCGCACGUUGAUAGGUUUAUGAGUAUUGAUGCUCCUGAGAGUAACAUCAGUGUAUAUAUGAUCUAGUGAAUAUAACAGCUGGGAUCGAUGUCAUAAAAGUUGUUCUGGUUCUUAGUUUUCUGGAUAGUAAUUAUCUGAACGUGUGAUGAAUGGCAAUUAAUUUGAUUUUUAAUAUCUUAUUUAAAUGGACUAGUUUCUUAACUUUAGUUGAUUAGUCUACAUGCACUGAUCCUAACUGACGUUUAGUUUAGAUUUUUAACUGAUGUGCGAUGAAUGGUAAUUUAUUUGUAAUAUUUUUGGUACGAAAAAUUCAUAUUCGUACUAGCAAUCUAAUUUGUAAAUAUCUGUAAAUGUAAAUAAAGAUUGUCAGGUCUAUAAAUACACAUCUCAAAUUCAAGCAAAGACAAAAAAAAAAAAAAAAAAUCUCAAAUUCAAACAAAAAGACAAAAAAGAAAAAAAAAAUCGUCUACACACAAACUAAAAACUUAAAAAUUAAGAAUUAAAAAAAAAAAGUAAGAAUCUCUUUAUUUGUGCGCACGUGGCUGCUUUAUUUUGCGUCCGAGCGCCACGGAGCUUGCGUUGAAGUGUGAAUGCGUGUCGGUUAAACUCGUACCAGGAUUGAUGACGUGGCGCGAAGUAGUUGUAGGGAACUCAACAAGAAUUGGUUAGGCUCCAGCGCCUAGCAAGGUAGAGGUGUACGGCUCGAAUUUUGAUGCAAGUUACACGCGCCUCCACGUGUGUGGGUGAUCGAGAAAUUAAUGUACGGGUAAAUGGAAUUUAACCACGAGAUAUACAGGCAAUGGCAUUUAACCAUGGAAUAUACAGGUAAUGGCAUUUAACAGCCACCACACCACCUACAGUACUUAACGCAAUUUUAUACACAGAUAAUGGUAUUUGACAACGACCAUCAUUAUUGACCCUACUUAUUAGUACAGUCCAUUAAAGAAUUUAAUAAUUAAUACUUAAACUUCCGUGUUUGAAAUCUAAUUAUUUUUUAUUUUUGCUGAAAGAAAAAAAAAAAAAAAUAAAGACAUAGUUUACAAAGUUGCAAUGCACAGGAGGCCUUUUCUGCCAUCCAAACACAGCAUUUUCCGGGUAGCGGUGUACAAAUUCCAACGAUAUGUAACUAACCAAACGUGCAGUCGUCGAUCUAUGCAGAGUUUACAAAGUUGCAAUGCACGUGUUACAACUUACAACAUACUCUGUCUACAAUGACCCAUUCAAGCGUUUUUGCUUUAGUACAGUACUUCACAAACUAGACAAAGGUAAACAAAGUAGUGAGCUUUUAACUACGUUAUAUAUAUGACCAAACAGCAAUCAACAUAUUCAAGGAGCUUACAGUAGUUUCAUCACAAAAUCUGUAAUUAACUGUACCAUCUUACCCCCCUGGAACCCAUAUCUGAUGGUAACUUAUUAGAAUAGCUGAAUAAAUCUAGAUGGAAACAACCAGCCUAUGCACAAAAAGAGUAACAGGACAAUCCUGGAUGAUCCAUCAAUACUCGCGACAAUCAAUCAAAUCAACUUCUUUGAACAAUGUGGGCAUAGGUACAAAUUCAAGAUUCGGAAUACUCCUGCACUGCUAACAAAAAUUUACUACGUCAACUUGAUAUCAUGUUUGAUAUCAUACCUCUACAUAUUGGUACCAAAUUUCCAACCAAAGCAAAAUCAUAUAAGAGGGCUAAUUAUAAAAGCAGCAACGCAAGGUUUCUGAAACAAAUUUAAUGUUUAGGUACUAAGGCCUCCAAAAGUAAUAUCAAAAACUAAGCAAUACGGGUGGCAUUUUUCAUGUGCUCAUGUGCUUUCCUUGAUAGAUUAUACAACGGAAUUUGCCAAGAUAAAAGUUACUAGUCGUACGUAAACAUGGGCAACAUAAAUAGUAUGCGCUCCUGCAUGUGUUUUCACAUUUUGUUGUGGACCCCAUUGUUUUUCAUAUAGAAUAGUAACUUUGGUCGCUCUUAAGUGCACACGAAAUAACUAAAACCAGACCAAGUAAUAGAGUAAAUUAGACGACCGCAAAGCCAAAACUCACCUAACUUACAACAAGUGACAUCCAGUGCAUCUCUCGAGGGUACAUCACUCUCAAGGUCCAUUAGUUAUUUAAAGUAGGGAAAACUUUAAAAAACCCCCCUGUGGUUUCAUGCAUUCUCACUUUAGUAUCAUGUGGUUUAAAACGUAUCAAUUUGCUCCCCUGUGGUUUCGUUUUUAUCUUUUCAGAAGCUUUUUCGUUAAUAUUUCGUUAAAUUAUAUACAAAAAACUUCAGAUAACCAUCUAUGUUUAUCGAAUAUUCACUUUAGUAUCCUUUAAUUUUAAUUUUAUCACUGAUUUAAGAAAAAAAUAAUAAUAAAAUUGAUAACAAAAAGAGAAAAAUGAAACCACAGGGGGGCAAAUUGAUACGUUUUAAACCACAGGGUAUGAAAGUGAGAAUGCAUGAAACCACAGGGGGGGUUUUUGAAGUUUUCCCUUUAAAGUAAUUCUAAGGGAAGAAGGUUUGUUUCAUUAUAUUCCUUCUCAUCUUCAAACACAACAUGCUUCUAAAUAAUUUACUCUAUGCAAUAAAGGAGAGUUUUUUCUCUCAAAUUACAAAGCCCUAAAAGCAAUGUAAAUCAACAACAUAAAUAGAACUGAGGCAGCUAAAGGUUAAUUUUUAUUAAAGAAUGGUUGGUAAGUAGAAUGGAACAUAAGGCCACUGCAUGAUUUUGUCAAACAGUUCAACAUACUAAAAGAGCUUGCUGCAGAUUUUCUACAUCCUUGUCCCCAUGAUUGCACAAAUCAUCUGUGCUCAAUAUUAACCAAUACACGCCUCUCUCAUCGACUAACAACUAAAGAAUGGUAAACCUCUACCUGACAAACAUACUAAAUGAAAUACAGGUGUCAUCUUUGGUCCUAUCAUCAUCUGUCCUAGUUAGCUAUGAACACAUGGUAGAUCUCCCAAAAUUAAAACAUGUACAACAGUCUAAAAGAAACAAACAAGAGAAAGAUAAAAGGCAGUCUACAGAACUAUUUUGCAGCAUCAAUCGUAAGAUGGAGAACUAAGAUAAGAUCAGAGUAAUACUCAAACUAAAAAAGUGGCUGCUUUUGCUAGCUGUCAAUCUACAAACUAACAGAAUAGCACAGUGACACAAAAGAUUAGUCCAGCACUUCGAAUGAUGGGGGUGGGAGGGUUGGGGGGGCAUGAGGAAAAAGGAAAGUAAAAUUGAUUUCUAAAUACUACUAUUUUACAUGGAUAUAACCAGUCAUACCUCAUAGCCGAGUAACGAAAAUUUCCACCAAUAUUCUGAGCUCAAGAAGAAACAAUUUUAUGUCUUUUCAGAUGAACUGAGAUGUCCCAUUUUCUCUGUGAGGUGAUCGACAUUCUUCUUUUUCCACCAAUUCUGCCCCAUUCCCACAACCUUUCCUCCAUUUCUCUUUUCAUCAGCGUCUCUUCUUUCCGAUUGGACCUCUUGUGCAUCAAUCGAACCAGGUGUCUCAGUAAGAAACUGUUCCCAGAAUACAUCAUUUACGCCAGUUGGCACAGCAGAGGCUGCAGUAUUGGGUUUCUCCCUCGUUGAAUCUCCUUCAGCAACUGUAGGUUCAGAGUUCACGUCUAUUUCGACAAUCUUGCUUUGAUUAUCUGCAUGAGUUUCCACCACAUGAAUUUCUGUCAAAGGAAGAGCAGGGCUUUCAGCAUAAUUAGUGGAUUCCGCCAGCUCAGGUGAUGAAUGGAUAUCACCUAUACAAGGUGAAGAAGAACGCAACUUGGGCGGUGAGUGCAUAUUCACAUCAGUCUCACCAGAUGAUGCAUCCAUCUCCACAAGAACUAGAGUAGAAGGGGGGCCAGGGACAAAACCGUCAUAACACAUGUCUUCUUCCCCCAAAGCUUGACUCACCCCUCGGAAAAAAAUUUCUAAGGAGUUUAAGGAUGAUUCCAUCUUAUCGAAGGGCUCAGUGUCCAAUGCAUGCGUAGCAAAUACAUCCGAUCUCUCUUUAUUUACCACCUGCAAAGGUGCAAUUCUGUUUUCUUCCAUAUUGGCAUCCUCGUAGAAGAAGUUACUUUUCGGUAGCCUCCUCUUCUUACCAAAAUGGUCGGGUUUCUGAACAAAUUUAGACAGAAAGCCGGGUGUCUGAACUAUUUGGCUCAACGAACCCAUUAGAUUUCUUUGGCGUUGUUCCAUGACUUGCAACCUCUCCUCUAAAGACUGCAUUUGCUGGUCCAUCCCAUGCUGCUGUUGUGUGUGCUUCUGGAGCUCUUGUAUGAGCAGACCCUUCUCGUGCUUGAGUUUCUCGAUCUCCUCCUCGAGUUCUUGUCUUUCCGGUUCGGCCAAUGGCCCAUUCCCUUGGUUGUGCAACGAAUGGCUGUGGACGGGUUUGCGCCUAUGGAUAUUUUUUAAUAGGUGCCUUUGUCCCCUUAUGAAGUCUUCAUUUGCGAAUUCCCACUGAUCAGGAUCUAUUUUAUGGAAACCCUAGAAUAUGACAAACAGAGCAAAAUGCACAUAAAUCACUGGAUCAUUUUUGCUUCACAACCAAUGAAUGAAGAUAUUAAGGCAAUAAAAAGUCUGCCUCACGUUCGACCUAUUUACGCCAACGAAAUUCAAAUAAAUGAUGGUAGUACCAAGAGCUACCCUAUAUUCGUAGACAUGAGACACCAUCCUUUUAUCAGCGAAUAAAGCUUUAAGGUAAGUUACAGUUAAGCUGAAUGCAAGCUUGAAAAUAUUGGAAGAUAUUCUACAUGAUACCAUGGAUUGUACUUCGGGGACAAAAAGUACAACAUAGUAAGCAAUUUUCUUUACAUGGACAAAUGCAAUCCAUUAAGUAGGAAACAAACGAAAAAUUCAGCAGUAAAAAUCAUAGUAAAUCAAACAAUCCACGAUACACAUGCUAAGCGAUUGAACUAAUAACCUUACAGAUAAUUAUGUCACAUAUAUAGGACGAAUUAUCGACGAGGGAGAAAAGCUUAAUCCAUUAGCAGCCAAUUCACAAACUACUCAAUUAGCCAUAUACAGGGCUUAGAAUGAGUACAACUAAGCCAUUAACAAUACAUCAAAACCACUAUAACCAGAAAAUUUUAAAGGAAGUAGAAUCAAUUCAAUUGAGUAACCAAAAAGAAAAGACGCUUUUUUUUUUUUUUAUCAGAUUCAGCUCACUUACAUAAGUAUUAAGCUGCCUCACGAAGCUGGAGAAAUUGUUGUGCUUGAAGUAUUUGGGGAGCAAAUCCUUUUCAAAACCCCGCGGAUUCCAAACAACGAAGCUGGUAUUGUUCAACCCCCACGAAACAAUGGAGUCCGUGGAGGGAUCAUCCACCAUGUCAUACGUCUUCGUGAGGAAAGGAGGCGGCGAAUUCGAGCUCCCCGGCGACCCCUCCAUGUCCCCCUCCCCCACGCAAACCCUAGCACCCCCCCGAUCAAUCCCAACGCAUCGCGGAAUCCGCCGCGAAGGCCCGAAACCUCGAUCGAUCCGCCUCGAAUUGGAGCAGCAGAAGCGUCGAUCGGAGCGGGAUUGACCUGGUCGUGGCGAGAUCGCGAACCCUAGAAAAAGCCCUCCUAAAAAGGAACCCAAAAAGGAGAGGAAAAGAAUGAGCUUUUUUUUAUAAAUUUCUUCCUUUUUUCUCCGAGAAUAACGAAAACGACGAGGAGGAGGAGCUUCUUCCUUUUUUUUUUUUCGUUUAGGGCUUUAUUGGAAGAUAAUGGGAGAAGAGGCUCCACGAGGUUCUGGAAGGAUUUGAUGCGCCUCUCGGAGUAUUUAUGGCCGUGGAAAUUUCUAGAAGAGAAAAGAAGAAGAAGAAGAAGGAGAAAGAGAAAGAGAGGUCGCAUGAGUACAGGGUAGCCUUAAAUGUCGAGCUUUUUGGCUCCGCCUCAUAUUUAAUCUUUGUCUUUCUCUUUUAUUAUUUGAUGUAAUUGGCCUAAGAUUUUAUAAUCUCGCAUUUAUAAAAUGCAUAAUCCACAAGUUAAAUAAUAGAGAUUUUUGUACAUACUGACAUGUAUGUUAAUCCAAAAUCUUGGCUUUUGUAAGCACCCUUAAAAAAUCGAUUUGUUAAUUUCUUUACACUUGUACUUACAAAUGCAUUAAAAAAAAAAAAAAACAAAGUUCAAACUGACGAGCUUUAUUGCACCGAAUGACAUAAGAACAAUAUUUAUUAUAAUAUUUGUAUAUUUUAGUUUAGAAGUCUAUUUGGAUGCCUAAAAUUUUGCGCAUAAAUUCACACUAUUCAUAGAAGUUCAAUGAGGCAGUGUUUGGAUAUACGAAAGAAGAAAGGAUAUUCAGUACUACAACUGAUUAUCACAAUUUUAUAAUAGUACGUAGAGUAGAAAAUAGAGAUUAUUUAUACUGCAUAUUUAGGGUGCUGGUGAUACAUACUAUGAAAUGUGCCCUUAUCUUUUCUUGAAAAAGGACUACUAAAUGUAACACCAGUCGGUAGUAAUGAUGAUAAUGGAGAUGUUGUGCGAUAUGAAUGGUAAUGGUUUAUUAGUUCUCAUAACAGUACAUGCAAGUGAUGAACAAAUUGACGCUUGCGUUUUUCACUUUUAAUUAGGCUAAAUUACAGAAAAUCCUCUUGUAAUAAUCCGUUUUUUUACUUUUCCUUUCUGACAUUUAAAAACCUACACUUUGUCCCCUUGUAAAAUAAAAAAUGUGCACUUCAUCCCCUACCGUUAGAGUUCCGUCAGGGUUCCGUUAAAAUAUAUAUUUUUAUGCCGAAAAUACCCCUCCGUCAUCUCCCUGUUGCUUCGACUCCCUCCGGCUCGCCACCUCGCCGCCGCCUCGCCGCCUCGCCGCCUAGCCGUCUCGCCGUCCUCCACUGCCUCGCCCUCACCCACAUCCCCUCCGCCGUCCUCCGCCGCCUCGCCUUCACCUUCUUUGCCCUUCUCCUACUGUUGCCCACCUCGGUUUUCUCCUACUGUCGCCGAAAUCGAGGGCGGCGAGGGUGCAAGAGGAGAAGGGGAGCAGGUGGAGAAAGAAAUGGAGAGAAAUCGCGACGGAUUGAGGUGGGAAUCGCGGCCGAACGAAGAGGCGGCUAAGGAAGAUGGAGAAGAAGACGACAAUGGCGAGGAGCAAAAUGAUCAUUUUACACACUGUAAUCCUCCUGUGAAUAUUUUUUGGGCAAAGUGUAGGAUUUUAAAUGUCAAUUGGAAAAAGUGAAAAAACUGAUUAUUAUAGAAAAAUUUUCUGUAAUUUAACCUUUUAAUUAUGUGAUUGCUAUAAGAAAAGUUUUCUGAUCUACUCCUCGUUUGUAAACAAACUACUAAGAUAUCGGUGCUAGUGGUUGUAAAAAGUACUAGUGGUAGCAGUCGUAGAAAUAGUAUAGUAGUCAUUUCUCCACGCUGAUAACGAGUAAAAGCAUGAUCAUUGCUGCAUAACUAGCGAUUUAAUUAAGAUGAUAAUGCUAAAUGUAGUGGUACGAUCGAUUGAGAACAACAAUUAAUAGUUGCGGUUUGGUCCUAACAAUGUUACAGUCUCUGGGAUAUCAAUGGCCUUAUAAGCUAGCUCGAAUCAUGCGAUAUGUUGUGUUUGUUGACCAAUUCAAUCAAUUCUAACAAAAUAAGAUCCCAAAGAUAAUUCUAGGAAGAAAGCAAAAGAAAUGUCAUUCUCAUUUUAUUCACAAAGUCAAAAGGGACUCAACAAACACAGGACUUUUUUUGCUCUAAUCAAGUAUCAAAAGAGAACUUGUUUAUGAGGUUAAGGCUAAUAAUAGUUGAUGGAAGAAACAGUAGAUUAGAGUAAAAAUAUGUUCAUUCAAAUUAUUGGGAGAGAAAUACGAUUGUAAGGCCUAUGUAUAUUAUGAGAAUAAGCCAACAAAAAUGCUCGUGUAAACGACUUUUUGCUCGUAAACCCUACUUGGGGCUAGAGCCUUUCUUUCAAUUCAAGGAUAUUUUCAAACCAGAGAGAUCCUUUGUAUCAAUUUUCUCCAUAAUGAAUAUUAUUAUUACAAAGUUGUGUUUGAAUUUCUUUCAAUAAAUAUCCGUGCUCAAUUUUUAACUGCUAAACAAAGUUACUAACACAAAUUACUGCAUAUGCAUGCUUAUGUAGAUCCAACAUAACAACUCCUGGGCUAACAAACAAAAUAAAGAUAAUUCAACCCAAAGAUAGCGGAUUUUUUUUUUUUUGGUUUUCAUUUACAAAUAACAAUUUAAUCGUUGAAUAUUUUAAUAGAUAGAGUUUCUUAUUCUUGUUGUUUUUGACUAGUUUAUACCCUGAAUAUGUAUAAUUUAUAAAUAUCUCUUCAUUUCUCUGUACGCUGGAUCAUAUAAAAUUUAUAUCUAAAGAAAUGAAAAAUAAUAAUAAUAGUAUUAAAAGAAGCCUCAGCAUGAGAGAAUUGAGGUCGUCUGAUUAUUUUUGUGAUGUCUAGGUAAUGUGAUUUGUCCCCGGGUAAAUUCACUACAACAAAAUUAGAUCAUAGGGACACAUAUUUGAGACAUUUUUGUGUAAGUAUCCAAAUUAUGCCAAAAUUUUUAAAAAAAAUCUACUAAUGCCUAAAUAUAAAGUCCAAUCCAAUUAAAAAUAAAAUGUUACUCUACUCAACCCACCCCAUCGAGCUCAUUCGACCCGAUUACAAACAGAAAAGAAAAAUUGAUUAUCAUUUCUCCUUCUCCCCUCACUCAAUGGACUGAAAUCCUAAACGAAGAUCCUUUCCUCUCGUCCUCCUCCGCCAUCGCAGCUAACGAGAUAGAGUUCCGACGGCUGCUAAAUACUUAAAGAAAUAUUGGUAAAUUAGAAGUAUUUUUUAGGUUAUAGAGACACUCUUUAACUGUCACUAUAUACUUAGUGACCCCACAUAUAGCAACACUUUUUAAAAGUGUCGGUAAUUUAGCCGGCAAUAUUUUUCUUGAUCUGUACCGAUAUUUAAAAGUGUCACUAUAAAUCGUUUUUGUUGUAGUGAAUGACCUUCAUUACUCUCUAGCAAAUGUGGACGCUACUUCUAUGGUACGAGCUAUAUACAUCAACGUAGAAUUAAUCCAAGGAAUUGUGCAAACCUGCAAGCGUCGAGUACGUACGUGACAUUGCGACGUUUACUGUAGAGCGAUAUUAGGCAGAAUAAAUACAUACAUAUAUGAAAUAUAUAUAUAUAUAUAUAUAUAUAUAUAUAUAUAUAUAUAUAUAGUCAUAAUUUACAUGUAAAAUUUUAGAGCUUUUACUUGCUACAGUUUGCGACCGGUGUGAAAAUCCAGUUCGAGUAUUUUGGGGGGCACGAAACUCAUUCUGGCAGCUUCCUACAUAACAAAUAGAAUUUAAGGUGUUACUGCUGUCGAAUUAUUAUUUUGUAUCUCUAUGUUAGAGAAGUUAUUUUGGAAGCUAAAUAUCACGAUAAAAUAUUACGAGAAAUGUGCAGAGUUGGUACCAUCUGAGAUAGUUUAUUCAUACGAAAAUUUUAAAAUAUGGCAGUCAUACCAAUUCAUUUAUGUCCUUAGCCAAUUAAAUUUUUUUAAAAAAAUUCACACGUUCCAUCAGUAUUUUUAAAAAUAUUUUUAAAUUUUUUUUUUAAUGAGAGAUUUAAUUGACUUGUAAUAAAGAUAAUAGGCUGUAGCAGCUAUGUAAGAGACCAUCAAGGGCUUUUUUUUUGUAUAUUUUUUUUUUAUAAAUGAUCUUAACAAAUUUAUAUUUAUAUAAAUAAUUCUCUCCUUACCACAUGUUCGAACAACUAGGUGGCAUUUUAUGUUGAACACGGUGAUUCAAUCAUUGUGUUUAGAUACGACGAUUGGAUCACGGUAUUUCUUUUUAUAUUUUUUAUUAUUCUCAGUUAAAAAAAAAAGGCCUAGAGUAUAGACAUGAAUAAUCACCGUAUUUAAUUUGAAAAUGCUAAUGUGGUGCUCAAGUGGUAAGGAGGUGAUCAUAUAUACAAAUAUAAAUUUGUUAUGAUCAUUUAUAUAUAUAUAUUUGUUUUGAGGGGUGUAAAUAUAAAAGUGCCACCCCUCUCGAAUGCUCGAUCCAUAGACGUGUCAAAGUAGGCAACUUGUAUGGCUCCACACAUCUUGGGUACCAAAAACUUUUCUUUUUUUUGAGAGAAAGGUAGCACGUUACCCGCUUCAUUCAACAGAAUGAUGAAUUAGGCUACAAGGCUGGGACAGCCAGGCCCCGAGCGAAGGCGAAAAAAAAAAAAAAAAAAAAAAAAAAAAAAAAAAAAACACCUAAGGAGAAAGAAGAGAAUCCCACUCCGUCACUAAUUGCUUAAGCCUCUUGACAGCUAUCCCCGGGUUCGAUUGACAAUUCCUAAAUAUCCAAUCAUUCCUCACCUUUCAAAUGGUUCACGAGCAGCCUAUCAGAACAGUACGUCUGGUUCUCUUCUUGUGCUCUUCUUGUGCUGAUCCUUUCUAACCGGCCACUUUUUCCAGACGAAUUUUCCAUUGAUGUAAAAUAUGUGGUUCAUUAAUUAUCACGCUAGGACAAUUAAUUUUUUAUUUCUUCUCCAGCAAGUUACCGUUGACUUUGACUGUAGACGCCGAUGAAUCCUUUUCAUUUGGUUCGCGUCAGCAAUGUUGUCACUCAUCACUCAUGGCCUUGUGUGAAGAUUAUCUGAUGAUUAAAUUGAAUUCAUAACCGUAUCAUUCUAGAAUGUUGUUUGACAUUUUUUACCAUCUUUUACGCGGUUUUUUAAGUUAAUUCUCGAAACUUUUGUGUUCUUCUAAUGUGGUGUAUCUUAGUGACAUGGUUCUAAAUUAACGAUGUUGAUGUGUUCACACAUUACAUUACAGGUGGAUGUUAUAUUUGCGACAACUGAAUCUUGAGAUUGUUAUAUUUGCUAAACACUUUAAUAUGAACGGUUUGUGGAUUGUUAACGCUAACUAACUAUUUCAAAAAACAGGUGAGGGUUAAACCACAGUCCUGACGGACUUCAAGCUAACUCAAUUGCCGUUAGAUCUAUUGUGGACUGCAGUACCACUUAAUUUAUUCGGCCCAAACUAACCCAACAUUUUAAUUUUCUGAGCUUAUAUAUUAUAGGAUAGAAAAUAGAAGUUAUUUUAACCAAUAAUAAAUAGAUAACACAUUUUAGUCUAAGUAAAAAGAAGUUAAUCCAAAUGAGUUUCUAAAUGAACGAGUUCCGCUCUGAUUUAAGAGUGUGAAACUAGGCUAGACUCGCGAUACGAACGACAUUUUAAUGAUAUUUUAUAGAACAACAAGGGCUAGACCUUCAAUAAUUUGCUUUCACCUUCGACCUUGCGUGUUCGAUUGCCUUCGGUGAGCAACUGAUGGGCCCAUAACUAUCUACCUUCGGCUUCGACCUUUUCUAUAUCAAAUCCUAACAAUCGCCACCAUCUUAUUUCUCAAUUUGCAUAUGUUCACGAGCGCUUAUUAUUAAAACAAAAGAACAUGAUUUAGCUCUAUGCGCGUGCUAGUCCGAACUUAAUUUCUUGACCCAAAGUGCGGUUGGUCUAUCCUAGCUUUGGCUCGGCCCGAAUUGUUGGGUUAUAGACGAAUUUGGGAGUUUUAAUUAACUAGGCCUAUAUUAUUUGUGUCUCGAUAGGUCUUUUUAUUAAAGAUAAAGAUUGGUAAUGUGAUGUCAAAUAAUAUGUGGCAUAAACGAGAUGUUUCAUGCACAUGCCGUAGAGUAGCAACACUUUUUGAGGCGAAUAAUGAGUUGCAUGGAAGUUGGAAUUGUGGGACCAUUGGCGCUAAUCAUUAAUUCUAAAAAUUCAAAUUAUUAGAAACCCACAAUUAAUUUAUUUCAAAUAUAAUACCCACAAGUCUCGAUUGUGAUUCAUCCUAACCAAUCUUACGCUACUUCGAAUAUGACUUAGCCUAAUCCAGCCUCACGCCAUUUCGAAUAUACUCGGUCCAAUCUGAUCUCCCAUCAGAAGGCAGGAUACUAGUCUAUUUAAACCAAUAGGAAUAUCACUUUGUUUUGCUCGAAAAAGUGGUGAUUUUUCAUAGAUAAAUAAUGUAAUCAAAAAAUUGAGCCCUAUAUAUACUUUUAAAAGUACCAAGUCAUUGGCACUUAUAGGUUUUGGCUCUUAAAUUAAGGAAUGUGUUGUUAGAAUAAUAGUGAUCCAUUAAAGUUUAGUGGAUGGUUGGUUUAAUAGUAUAGUCUACCAGGUGAAAAUGAUCCAAAUGAUAGAUCUAACGGCGAAAAAUUUACAAACCACUACAACAGAAUUAGUUUAUAGGGACACAUGUUUGGGACACUUUUGAGUAAGUGUCUCAUUUAUGCUAAAACUUAAAAAAAUAUCUACUAAUGCCUAAAUAUAAAGCUCAAUCCAACCAAAAAUAAAAGAUUACUCUACUCAACCCACCACACCCAGUCCAUUUGGUCCGAUUACAAACAGAAAAGAAAAAAAAAGAAAAAUUAAUUACCAUCUUUUCUUCUCUCUUCACUCAAUUCACUGAAAUUCUAGACGAAGAGCCUUUCCUGUCGUCCUCCUCCGCCACCGCAGCCAACAAGAUAGAGUUUCGACGGUUGCUAAAUGCUUAAAUAAGUGUUGGUAAAUUUGCAGUACUCUUUAGGUUAUAGCGACACUCUUUAACUGUCACUAUAUAUCUAGCGACCCCACAUAUAGCAACACUUUUUAAAAGUGUCGGUAAUUUUAGCUAGCAGCACUUUUUUGACAUGUACCUAUAUUUAAAAGUGUCGUUAUAGAUCGUUUUUGUUGUAGUGUACAUCAAAUACUUGUAAAUUUUAAAAGCACCGUAGCCGGACUCUAAGUUAGGCAUUCGGUCGUUAGAAAUAAUAUCCUAUUCAAUCUUCAUAUUAUUUUUUUUUGAAGAUGAAAUAAUUAUUUUAUAGGUGAAAUACAUAAAUGUCAAAAUCUAAUCAAACUCUUAUUCUCUAGUUACAAAAGAAAAAUCAUAUUGAAUAAAGAGCAAUGCUCCUAUGCACCAACAUGAUCUUAGCCCUAUUCUGACAUUGGACCUAAUUAAAGAGCAAAUAUUGAACUUUUAAUUUUUAUGUGGAAUUAAGUAAUUACUGAUUUAUUUAUUUAUUUCAGCAGCUAAAUGCACCUAACUAAAUGAAUGUGGCAAAGAAACAAACACCCAUUACUUUAUCAAUUAUUGCCCAGCUAUAUAAUAAUCUACUGCACCUGUCUUUUGGCGGGUAUGUAAAUAUGUAAUGACACAAUCACCAUUCACGAGAUGCACGCACGAAGGGGAACUGCGCAAAUGACGACAAGUAGAUGCGAGAAUCGCAUGUACCUGCGAGAAAGUACAUGCGCUUGCUUUGUUUUANUAUAUAUAUAUAUAUAUAUAUAUAUAUAUAUAUAUAUAUAUAUAUAUAUAUAUUACUCUCUUAUUCAUGGCUAAAAAACAUAUUAAUGAUUUAGUAAGAAACGGAAAAAAAAUCAAAAAUAUAAUAAUAAUAAAAUAACGCUGCGUCAGAUAGAGUGCUCAAAUACUUAAAAAAAUAAAGAAAAAUUAAAUAUGUACUAAAAUUUGUAUUUACUAUAUUAUGAAUAGAUCAAUACAGUUCAAUAUCUGGCGCUUAAAUAUUUAAAGAUCAGAAACAAAAAUAUUUAAGUAAAUAAAUAAAUACAAUGAAUUUGAGAGAUGGAUCAUGGAAUCAGCCAUAAGAGUGUGCUGACUGCUGUCGUGCCCCCACGUCUGUGCUGGUCAGGCAACGACAGCUGCUCUCUGCCUUCUUUUGAAUUCCUGUCUCCCUCCACCCCUUCCUCUAUCUCUCUCUCUCUUUCUCUUUAUAUAUACAUGACCAUCGAUUAACAAUAUGAUGAUGAUACUAUCUUAAUGAUCACUUACCGAAAAUUAAAAAAGAAAAACUGAAGAUUCUUUACGAGUUUUGAUUCCUCGAGGACCCACGGUUCAUUGACCAUAAUCUAGUUAAUGUUCUCUAAUUAAACUCGAAUAAUAAUAAUAAACAUCGUUACGAUUGAUUUGCAGGAUUAAUAUUUAUAUAAAAGUUACAGGAUACGUAUUGGUAUCUAUUUGGUCUGAUAUCUAUACCAGUUUCUUUACUUGGAAAUGCAAAUUUUAUAUUUCACAAAUGGCCAAUUUGGAAUCCUUGAUUUGAAGAGAAUGCAAAAGUAGGCUUUCAAAGAAUAAUUUAUUUCAUAUAAAUUUUUUCUAAUAUGAAUGUAAGUAACGAUCUUUUUUUUUUGUUUUUUCAAAGGUGUUGCUAUCCAUAAUUUGAGAGGAUAGCUUAUUUUACUUACGAUCGAGUUAGCUUUAUCUUAUUAUAAAAAAAAAUGAUUUGGAGUCCAAAUAUGAUAUUUCAUUCUAAAUAUAAGACGACAGUACUUCUUAUCAAUCAAAUAUAUAAAUUCUUUGAGUAAAUAAAGACUCUAUUUGAAUAUUGGAAUAAGUUAUUAAAAAAUAAAGCAUCCGGUAGAAAAAUUUUUAUCAUGAUUUUAAUUAAGUAGAAAACAUGAAUUUUAUUUUUUUAAAAAAAUUUACCAUCCAUAACUUAGUAGGAUAGUAUAUUUCACAUACAAAAAAAAUUAUCUUAUUCUGAAAAUAUAAUGUGAAAGUCAAAUGUAAUAUUACAUUAUGAACUUUUGGUCACACUUCUAAUCACUCAAAUAUAUAAAUUUUUUGAAUGAAUCAAAAAAAUAUACCAAAUAAAAUAUUUAUAUAUCCAAAUAAGGACUAAAGAAAAAUAUCAAAAAAUAUAUAUUUCUCCAUUCAAACUAGGCCUUAAUUAGGUUCAAAAUAGAAAGUUAAGAUGAAGAUGAGCUCUAGUUUGUCAUUUAGCUUGAUAUUUAAUUUUCACAGAAAUGACGUGAUCAGAUAAGGAUAAUGAUAGAGAUCGGCAACUCCGUGAGAAAGUAGGAGGGGUAAUGGAGUGGAGAGUGGGGCAUUAGCAUGCAUUAUCUCGUUUCUGCUGUUCGUACGUCACGUGCAUAAACAAGCAAAGAAUAGGAUAGUGGGACUCGUAAAACUUGCACUCUACUCUCUCUCUCUUCUUUUUUUUCUUUUUUUUCUUUAUAUUAUACCAAACUAAUUAAGAACGCAUAACACUGCAUUGUGUUGAUUUCUAUGUUACUCUUCUUUUAGAGUGUAACGACUCACUUUUUAAAGAGUCAUUCAUUUUAAAAUUAUUAUAAUUUUAACAUGUUUAACUCUUUUAAUUUUUUGGACGUAAUCGCCGUCUAUUAUUAUAAAUUUACACAUGGAGGAUCCACCGGUCAUCACAAAAGAUCUCUGAUGGCGAGACGAGAACCGUCCGAUUGGGGAUGCUCUCUAUUUUCAGGAGUGCAACGCAUCUGAACGUCUUCGAUCGAUGCUGUUUAAUGUCGCACCGCACGUGGUUGAGAAAUGUUUUUUUUCCUGCACCAGGUGUAUUACUUCAUCGUAUACACCGCGCUGCUCAAUUGCAUAAUAGAGAUCUCGAAAAUGAAUAAAUUUAGAGGGUUAUUUCUUGUAAAUCAAAUAAUAAUUUUUUAUCUGCAAUUAAUCAUUAAGACUGCUUAAUACACCAGCAACAAACUUUUAAACUUUAUAAUUUUUAGAUUUGGUGCACGAGGUGGACGAAUAUACAGGGUGCAGAGAAAAUAAUCGUAUCCGCAACGCCCCGGCGCGUGGGGUCCACUAUCACGUGGAGCGGUGGAGGGAGCCGUUGGAAAGCGGUGCGGACACCCCAACGCGAAGGUUUGGUGCACCACCCUGCGUCGCCCGGUACACCAUGCAACCAAUUGUACGAGCGCGCGCAUAGGAAAUUCUAAGCGGGUGGCGUAUACGGCAUCUUUACAGUCACGUGGUACACGAAAGAGUAUCUUUCACCACAGACAGGGCAGUCACAAAUACAUUCAUAUUUAUACCUAAAAGAAAAUUACAUUAUAUAAUAAUGAAUACCAUGAAGUGUUACUUUAUAAAAGUAAAAAAAUAUUGGGUUAAUUUCAUACAGGUACCCACAAAUAUAGUGAAUAGCAGAUAUAUCUCUGCAAAGUUCAACUUUCAUAAGUUAUUUCUGUAAAAGUUCUAAUUAAUGCAGAUAUGUCCUUACAGUUAAUAUCCGUUAGAAAAAUCUAAUUAACUAUAAUUAAAAUACUUAACCAUGGUCAGUUAAUACGGUAAAAUGAUAUUUUUACCCUUCUUCUUCUUCCUUUUCUUCUUCGUAUCCUUGUUUUCCUCCUCCUUUUCUUCUCCUUCUUCUUCUUCAACGUCAUUGUUGAUGAUUCGAUCGGCGUCCCCGUCGUGGUGCCCGCGUGGGCUGUCGUCACAGGUGCCUCCAACCGCAUCGGCCGCGCCUUCGCCUUCCGCCUCUUUCUAGUACUCGUUGGCCGCAACCCCGACAAGUUUUUUUUUUUUUUUUUGAGAGAGAGAUAGGUAGCACACUACCCGUUUCGUUUAUUUCAUUGAGAAAUAAACUUAGCUUGAAAUGUAAGUCGACUAAGAUUCGAAUUUGGGUCUCGGGUACCAACCAUCAAGCCCUUUGCUACUUGCUUUAUGGACGGUCGAUAACCCUGACAAGUUCCGCGAGAUCGCCGCCGCCACCGCCGCCGUCCGCUCCCACAGCCUGAAGAGGAAGAGGAAGGAAAGAGGGUAAGGGCAAAAUUAUAAUUUCACAACUCUACUGUUAAAAAAUUAACAGUUCUCUAACCAGAGGGACACAUCUGCAUAUAUUAGGACUUUUGUAAAAAUAACUUAUGAAAGUUGAACUUUACAGGGAUAUAUCUGCUAUUCAUCAUGUUUGCGGGAUCUGUAUGAAAUUAAUCCAAAAAUAUUUGUUGAAACCAAAGUUUUUUAUUUAGUACUGCAUUGAAAAGUUAUUUGGAUGGCUCUGUGAUAUUACAAAAUACAACAAAAUAAUUUUAUUUUUUUAUAUUUUGAAAAAAAAUUAAAAUCUCAAUUUAUGAUAUUUUAGAAUAAAGUAUGAGCAAGUCAGCAAACCACAAGUUAUCCCCCUCUCUUUAAAAUAAGGUAUUUCUUAGAGUAAUUAAUUUGGAGUGAUCCAAAUACCUUAAAUAUAAUUUUUAAAAUAAAGUAAUAUUGUUUUUAGCAGGCAUAAGACUAUUGGAAAAAUAAUUUAAAUUAGUUUCAAAGUUUUCUGACAAAGAAUUAAAUAGAUAAUUUUUAGUUAGAAAUUAAUUAUUUAUUUAACAUUUUUAGUGAAGAUAUAUCUUAAUUACUACGGAGAAUAAGAAGCUCGUCUAUUCGAAUUGAGCUAUUCCUCCAAAUCCAAUAGGUUGCUAUUCCAAAGAUUAUAAAAAUAUUUAUUGUUACUCCAGUUCUAAUUUUCAUUUAUAUGAUGUUUUUUUAGAGAGAAAGAUAUUAAGUUAUUCAUUUCGCUUAUUCUUUUUACAAAUAAACUCACUUUGAAAAAUAAAAUAAUUGUAUUUUAAAAUUAAAAAUUUUUAAUAUCUAUCAUCAAGUUUUUAGUUGAUAGUGCUAAGUGUAUAUUUGGUUUGACGUAAAACUGAAAAAAAAAUUUCGGAGGAAGAAAAUUUUACGCUCUUUUAUUUUUGAUUUGUAGAAAAAAAAAAAAAAAUUUCCGUUACAGUUGUUUAAUUGAUGGAAAAAAAAUUAUAAAUAAAAAAUUAUUUUAUAUAUAUAUAUUAUUGAUAUAUAAUAAUUAUCAUAUUACAUAUAUUAGUAUUAUAAUUUAUAUUUAUAAAUAAAAUAUAUUUAAAAGAUAUUAUAUAAUAAUUAAAUAUGUAAUAUAAUAUAUAAUAGUACAUAUUUAAUACUGUAAAAUAAAUUAUAUAACAAUAUAUUUAUAUUAAAAAUAAAAUACUNCAGAUUUUUACUUGCCGACUUUUAUUUUUAAGGUAUUUUUUACUACUAUCUUCUGAACUUAAAUUCUAGUCUCCAUGACUGGAAUGAGAUUUAUCAUUUUUUUUUUUAAAUAUUUUUAAAGUAGAAUAAACCUAACAAAAUGUGGCAAUUUAAAUGUUUACGUAGUGUAGAUAGUAAUUUUAAUAGUUAAAACUCUGGAAAACUAGUGAUCGGUUUACUACAGCUUUUUAAGACUUUAAAUCGAAGGUUUAUGAAAAUUAUUACAUCUAGUUCAGAUUGCCUCAGCUAGCAGCUAAACCUUCGACGUAGUAGCUUUUGUUGAACCAUCGUGCCUUCGGAGGCACGAUGGCUAACAUAUCGUCGGCCUGAGAUAUAUAUAUAUAUAUAUAUAUAUAUAUAUAUAUCUUAUACUCAUUUGAUAGGUAAAUGAUUCCGAAAAAUUAUAAAAUUUAGUUUCUAAAUACUUUCAAUAGUAUAGAUCAAGUCUAACGGAGCCGAUAGUCGAUUUGGAAGCGGCAUCAUUAAAAACAACUUGGUAGCAUUGAGACGUCCGUACUACCGAUAGUAUAGCAGCCUAGCUAUAUAUAUAUAUAUAUAUAUAUAUAUAUUUAUAUAUAUAAUUAGGCUGGAAUACCAAUUUGUGGUCUGAUUCUCCGACCUUACCCUCCGCGCACCACCUUUUUUGAUCCUUUCUCCUUUUUUCCUCUUUUUUCUUUUCUUUUCGUCUUUUUCCUGUUUUCUUCUUUUUCUUGUUUUGUUUCUCUUCUUGGUUUUCUUCUGCCCCGAAAGCCCUAGCUGCUUCCAUACUGUUCGCCUAGUUCACUUAUCAAUGAAUGAAGUAGGUAGCUAGUCUACCUCUUUCUCAAAAAAAAAAAAGACUGGAAUACUAUUAAUAGCAUAAAGCUAUUGGUGCUAUUAGUUGUUUAGCCUUUGGAUUGGGAAAUGUGUGGUUAGAAUGAUGUGAGCCCACCCUCCAUGGUUGAGUGAGUGAUUGUUGAAUAGUAUAAUCUAACAAGUAAAAAUAAUCAAAGAGUACCGACCGUCUCUACAGCAAGUGGCAAAGUGCUUGGUGGUUGGUAGCCGAAACCCAAGUUCGAAUCCUAGUUGAUUCAUAUUUUCAGCUAAAUUUAUUUCUAAAUGAAAUAAACGAAGCGAGUAGCAUGCUACCUAUCUCAAAAAAAAAAAAUCACUAAAUUUUUUGUGCUAUCGAUAGUAUUCCGGUCGGUAUAUAUAUAUAUAGAAUUAUGCUACUAUACUAUCAAUAGUACCAAGUCCCUGGUACUAUUUAGUUUUUGGUCGUUGAAUAAAAGAAUGUGCGGUUAGGAUGAUAGUGAUCCCCGGUUAAAUUAAUAGUAGUCCUCAAGGGUUGAGUGGGUGGUUGGUUUAAUAGUAUUAUCUAAUGGAUGGAAAUGAUCAAAGGGUAAAUCUAACGGUAGAAAACUUAAUAGUACCAAAGACUUGGUACAAUCAAUAGUAUAAUAGCUGGACUCUACAUAUAUAUAUAUAUUUAUAUGAGUGGAGACAGAGAGAUUCAUCGUCGACCGCCCUAUCGCGCGGUCCACCUCGUGGACCGUGUGCUGCUGCCCCCCUCCCCUCACAAUGCCGUGUUUUUUGCUACUUUCGUUUUCAUUUUUGGCUUGCUUCGAGCGCAAAAUGAAAACAAGCUUUUUCCUGUUUAUCAUUCGUGAAAAUUAUUUUUAAAAUAAAAUUACGAGCAAACAAACAUUAAUUCAAUUUUUACUUUUUUUAUAAUUUUUUUUUAAAAUAGUUUUUUUAUGAGUAACCAAACAAACCUUUAGCAUGAAUGGUAGAGUAAAUUCUGAUGAAUAUGUAUAAUAUAUUACAAAUUUUGAUGGACAUGUACGUGUACUAGUUCUUAUUUAAAUAAACAGUAUUUUCAAAAAAAAAAAAACAGGGGCAUUCACGUUAAUUUAAUGAAACGUAGAAAUGUUAUUCUGUAGUAGUAGGCGACCCCGUCGAUGUGCGAACACGUGCGCCUGCUUUGGACCGGCCGUUGCAUGCGGGGCCACCACUCCGAGUUUGUCUCUCGGCGGGUUUUCUCGUUCUCGUAAUAAAACUGAGCCACGUGGGGAACGGUCUUCGAGCCCCCUCCUUUAAAAAAAAAAAAAAUAUAUAUAUAUAUAUAUAAUUAUUAUAUUAUAUAUAUAUAUAUUUAAUCUUUAUUUUUUAUUUUUCCUCCACUCACUCUCCCCCCUCUCGCGUACGGCGUACACCGACCCUAAUCCUUUUGCGUACGGCGUUUCUCUUCGAAAAAAAUAAUUUACAUAUAUAUAUAUAUAUAUAUAUAUUACUUUAAGAUUUUUUUAUUGAGCAAUGCUACAAGAGUACAAGUACAUAAAAGCCCGUGUAAGUCUUACACUUUUUGAUUCAAAAAUCUAAAUUAAAUUUUAAUUUUAUCAAAAUUAUUAUUUUUAAAUAUUAAUUUUUUUUCACCCUUAUCGAGGCCGAGCUGUCUCACUUUUGUAACCUAAUUUAUAAUUUUAAUGAGUGAAGUGGGUAGCAUGCUAUUUUAUUCUCCAAAAAAAAAAAUUUAGUUUAUUAGAAGGUUCGAUAUCCAUAAUUUAAUUAUUAUUUUUAAAAAAAUAAUUUAAAGACUAAAUAUAUAGUAAACUUUUUAGAUAUUUAAUUUAUCUUUUUUAUUUAUUAAUUUUUAUUAAAAUUUUUAAAUAAAAAAAUAUAUCAAAUACAGCUGGUGUCGGCUUAGUUACGCUGUAUAUGGUUAGCUACGAGCUUCUGCACCGUCCGGUCGAAGUAUUCGAUCGCAAUGUUGAUGUGGCUCUGUUUCUCUCACGUAUUCGAAUAAAUUUAUUUCUUCAGGCCCAUUCUGUUGCUUGGCCUAGGAAUGUCAAUGGGUAUGGAUAUCCGAAAUUAAUUCAAAUUUGAAUCCAAAUAAAACGGAUAUAUCCGAUGAAUAUGGAUAUGAAUUCGGAUAUGGAUAUCAAAAAAUAGAAAUCUAACGGAUAUGGACUCGGAUAUGGAUUUUGAUUGUAUCCGAUCCGAACUCGAACCCGAACCCGAUCCGAACCCGAAUUUAUUUUGUAUUAUAUAUAUAUAUAUAUAUAUAUAUAUAUAUAUAUAUAUAUAUAUAUAUAUAAAUUUGAUGUUAUAUUUGAAUUUUAUAUUUUAAAAAUUUAGAUUUAAUAUAAUAUAUUUUGAAAUAUUGAAAAAAAAUAAUUGUUUCGAGUACAAAUUUUCGGGUUCGGAUUCGAGUUCGGAUUUCAGAUUUUUGGUUGGGUUCGGAUUUGGAUAUGAAUUUUUAAAAUCCGUCGAAUUCGAGUUCGGAUUCGGCUCUCGGGUUUGAAGUCAAGUUCGGGUUUGGAUUUUUAAAAAUCCGCCCGCAAUCCCGUUGACAUCUCUAUGCUUGGGUGAAGAGAAUGAUGCAAUUGUUGACGUGUCACCUUGAAGCCCAAUAUCUUUUUUUCUUUUUUCAUUUUAGGCGUACGUAUUUAUGUACGAAAAUUAUUUUGUUAUUUAUCAAACAAUUUAUACUGAAUAAUUAUAAGAAUUUUGUUCCUCUGUAUAGCUAUAUGUUGAGAGAGUAUCUUUUUUGGGGUGUUAUUAUUUUUAAAUUCUCGUAAUAUCUAAAUUAUAAUAAAUUAAUAAUCAUAAAUUCUAUAAAAAUAAAUGACGUAUUAUAAUUUUAUAUUAUUAAUCAAAUCAAAAUGUAUUGAAAGAUUGAUUACUUAAAUAAAAAAUUUUAAAAGGUGAAUAAUAGAUUCAGAAUGAUCAAUAGCUUAGAUAAAUUCAGUAUGAUUUUACUAAUUUAAUAUUGUAUUUUUUUUUCAAUUUAUUAAAAAAAUAAUUCUCUACUGAGGUUCAUGGACUAGUUCCACGCAAUAAAUUCCCAACGCCAUGGUUCACAUCAAUUGUUUCCUACAUUUGCUGGCCAUCCAAUAAUGGCAUGGACUCGUGCAGAACGGUUAUUUCUUUUUCCAAAAUUGCCCUCCACUUAAAUAAUAAUAAUAAAUAGCGGAUCUGCGUUCACACCAAUCACACACUUGUUUGAGGAGUGAAAAGCGACACUAACACAUGCACCAUUGUUCACACUAGUGGCAUUCUCGUGAUUUUUAUGCCCUUUUCCCCAUCUCGCGACCAUACCUCUAUUUAACGCUCCCUUCGUUUUUCCUCUCUCUCUCUCUCUCUCUCUCUGGUUGCAACGAGAACCGGACGAGUCGACCGGUCCGGUUCAAUCGAACCGGAUCUUCUCCUCUCUCCUUCUCCUCCGUAGUUAAGAGCCCCGAUCCCGUUUCCUCGCGCCUCAGAUCCGUUCGAUUUGGGCUAAAUUCGGCGCGUUCGCGCUUCUCGUCGCCGAUUCUGACGAAGAGCGGUAGGGUUGGGGUUAGGGGUGGGGCUAGGGCUCGGAGAUGACCUCGGGGGGGAGGAUGCCGACGUGGAGGGAGAGGGAGAACAACAAGCGGAGGGAGCGGCGGCGGAGGGCGAUCGCGGCGAAGAUCUUCGCGGGGCUCAGGGCGUACGGGAACUACAAGCUCCCGAAGCACUGCGACAACAACGAGGUCCUAAAAGCGCUUUGCCACGAAGCCGGAUGGGUCGUCGAAGAGGACGGCACCACGUACCGCAAGGUAACCCGAUCCCUCUUCUCCACUCUUCCAAUUUUUGCUUUUUUUUUGCCCUUUCUCGGUAAAAAUUAUUUAACUAAUAUAUAUGGACAUUAUUUGAGUCUUUAACAUAGUUAGGCGAACGUUAGUCGUACGCGCUUGUUCCUCUCGGAAAAUGCUCCUCGGCGUGCGCAUUUUAGCAGAUACUACUUGUUCGUGCUAUAAUGCGCCGGUAAAACGUUGUGGGCAUGAUUUGUUUAUUUUUUUUUUUAUUAUGCUGGGAAAAUAAUUAUUUCAAUUUUGUUUUCCCUUACUUUAUCAUCGUGUGGACGUGAUUAGGGGAGCUUAUUUCGAUCUUUGUCGAGCAAAUUAGCCUUUUUACUGUUAGCAGUAAUUAAACCUCCUGUUCUAGGGGCAGUUUAGUCAUUCCAGUAAAGGUCGGGAAAUUGCGUUUUCUCCGGUUGUCCCUGUCCGAUUGCGUCACGCAAGUCACGCGUCGCACAGGGUAGCUUUCGCGUGUCACGGAAACGCGGGGCGGGCUCACGUCUAUUGACCAAAAUGCCCCUCCCUCCCGGGUCACGGCUCUCGUGCUCGUCCCUGUUGCCCCCCCACCACAACUGCCGCGUGGGGAGAAGCACUGCGCGUAAACGCGGAUCGCGAACGCGGAUUUUGUCCCUUCCGCCUUUGUGCUGCGGAGGUGAGAACCACGUGUCGUGGACGCCAUUUCCCCCCAGAUUGAUGUUAUGUUAUGGUGACCAAUUUUAUGUACCCGAUUAUGACCGCACCCAUUAGUGGGUGCAUCAUUUGAGUAUUUGCUUGGGCUCAAAUAUGAUUUGGGCUCGACCGAGCUCGGCUUGAAUCUCAUAUAUUCUGGCUCGAGGUUAUUUGAUGUAUAAGCUACGCUUGCUUGUUUGGUUCGAAUCAAGCUUAGUUUAGUUCAAUAAAUUUUGUUUCAGAUUCAGUAGUACGUAUAUCCUCUAAAAUUAGAGGAAAAAAUUGUAUAUAUAUAUAAAGACGCAUCUUACAUAAGAUGCGCGAGACCACAAUUGUGCGGGUGAUUCACGGGACCAUUCUACCAGCCAUAUAGUGUUGUGCGAGUGAGACAGAUAUAUCCACUUUUGGACUAGAAAUUAAAAAUUAGCUUGAAAUAGAACAAAAAUUAAGUAUAGUUUCUUUGAACUCACAAUUAUGGGGAUUUGGGAAAGGGCGAAACAAAGGAGAUGGGAACUUUGGAGUUGGAAAGAGAUUGAAAGGUUGGGAAUCCUCGUGCUUCAACUGUGCGCCUUUAAGUAACGUCGUAAAAAUUAUGUGCUGUGUGAGUCGUCAAAGAUUCGAAGGGCAAGUGGAGUUUCCUGUUACUGAGACCUACCUUUGCUAACAUCCCAUUCCACUACACCUCUUUUUGAAAUGGCCCUCCUUAAUUGACUGGGAAGUGCCCAGUCCACUUAGGUAAGUGGAUUAGCACAGUAGGAGAAGGAUAUUAUUCUACGCAAACAACCCCAAUCAGUUAUAUUAUCUGAUCUCCUCUAUGUUCGAAGAGUUUCUCGAGAUAUUCACUAUAUAAACUGUUAAUUUGGCGAAUUUUAGUGUGAAUUCGAGUUUAUUAGUAGUACUUCGUCUUCGUGAUAGUGUGUACAGCUCAUCUCUGGAAUGCUUAUUAUCACAAGUUAGCACUAAAGCACCAGCUUCUUCAGUUCCUGCAUUGAACUUUUUUGGUUUGUUCCAACUUUUUAUUUGAUUUGUUGGACAAUAUUUGUCCGGAUCAUUUUUGAGCUGAGUUUUUUUUUUUUUUCAACAUUUAAAUUUUUCGAAUGCGAGAGAUCAGGCCGUCAGUACUCGUGUUAAAAGUUGCUAAUUAUAUUCAUUUGGGCCUAUUAUUAUUCGUAUGUUCGGUAGUUCUUUGAUCGCCGCACUGCAUUGAAUUUAUUCAAGAAAAACAUAUUAUAAUGUCCAAUUACGUGAAAUCAUGCAUCUGUAGUGUUAUCCUGUUAAAUUGUUUUCCACCGAGGAAAAUGAUUAAUCAGACAAGGAAUUGUUACUUUUCAUUUUCUAAAUUUGUAUGAAGAGCAUUGAUUAUACCAUACAUUGUAGAGCAUUGGACGGAAAAGAUAUACAGAUAUGGUGAUGUAAAAAUUGAAUAAGAUAAAGGGUACACGUAAGUUAAGAAAAAAACAAACAAAAGUAUGGAUUAAAUUACAAUGUAUCUAUUCUGUCAAAACUUACAAGAGCCAGUAUGAUUCGUGUAUUGAUUGUUUCAUUGUGAUGGUAUCUGAUUCCUUUCUCCAUCUCAAAUCAUCAGGAAGGGAUUCAUCAUCACUUGCAGCUCUUCUAGACAGUUUAAAUUGCAACCCUAUACUUAUAAAGGUAUCUGUUUCCAUGUCUUUCAGGGAUGCAGACCAGCGGAACGCGUGGACGUUGUCGGCAGUGUGGCUGCCUCGGCUUCUCCAAGCCCGUGCUCAUCAUACCAACCGAGCCCGUGCAUGUCCUACAAUCCGAGCCCGCCUUCGUCCUCCAUUCCAAGCCCGACUUCCUCGUCUUACAUCACCAACCCCAACAGCGGGACCGACUGCAAUCCCCUACUCCCGUGGCUGAAGACCCUGUCCUCCGCCUCGUCCUCUGCCUCUUCCUCAAAGCUUCAUCUCAACAUCCACUGUGGCUCCAUAAGCGCCCCUGUAACCCCUCCGCUGAGCUCUCCAACCGCCCGCACGCCUCGCAUCAGAACUGAUUGGGACGAUCGCACAGCCCGAUUACCCCAAUGGGCUAAUGGUACCGGGACGCCUUACACUCUGCUGCUGUCAUCCACUCCGCCAAGCCCCGGACGGCAAGUGAGCCCCGACGCCGCAUGGCUCACCAGCAGCCCCUCCUCUCCGACCUUCACCCUCGUGUCGGCUAAUCCGUUCGGGAUUUACAAGGAGGCAUCCGCCAGCGCGGCGGGGUCGUCGAGAAUGUGGACACCGGGGCAGAGCGGGACGUGUUCUCCAGUUCCUGGUGAUGCGAGGGACAUCCAUAUGUCCGACUGCGCAUCAGAUGAGUUCGCAUUCGGAAGUGGGAGUAUCAACGGGAACGUGGUGAAGCCGUGGGAGGGGGAGACGAUCCACGAGGAAUGCGGGUCGGACGAGCUGGAACUCACUCUCGGGAGCUCGAGGACCAGAUAGGAUAUUUCAUAGUGGAGAUUGAUAAACAAUCAUAAAAUUACCACCUAUUUUAACUUUUACUGCAAUCUUUUUUUCUGCUGCAGUGGUGAUAGAGAGAUAGAGAGAGAUCGAGAGGGUUCAGCAGUAUAUAUUUAUGUUAAUUCUCGUGUCAAGCCCCCAUCUUCUUUCGGGAUAUUUAAACAUGUCCGUCCAGUUAAUUUAAAAGAAUUGAAAGGACAUAUAGAAUGGAUUAGGAGCAUCCAUGGUAGCUAGCGUUUGUUUUGGUCCUUUGCUUAUCAAUUGUACUAAUAUUGCACUAGUGCCAUUUUAACUUGGCUUCUCGUUCUAUCUAAGGCUGACGUGGUGGAGCUAUAGUUUUUUCCGGCUUGUGCGAAUUUUUUAUUUUUUUUAUUUUUACGAUGUAAAUUUUUAUAGAAACACAGAUCACUUAUUUUAAGGUGCCAUUUGGCAAUUCUCUGUUCUUAGAACUCGUCUUUAUUAUAAAAAUAAAAAUGCCACAGCAAGAGAGAAAAAAAAGGAAAGUUUUGCAGCAUUCUUUAAUGCUAUUCGCAGUCUCACUCUUAGAACAAGACCUGCACGAAGCAUUUCUUUCUUGCAAAACUUAUGCCACAGGAGAGUAUUCGGGGACAACAGAGAGAAUGAGAAUAAACCGUAUUAAUAAACCGGCGAAUUGACCAAAAAAAAAUGCAAUUAGAAAAUUGUAGCGGUUGCAUACAACUCGAUCUCACGUCCCACGGGAUAUAUAAGCUUUACACCGUAGAGCUUCGGAGACACCGAGACGCCUAUUUCUAUUCCGAUUUCUACUCCUCCCUCGACUCAAUACAAUCUCUGACCUGUGUUUCCACCCCCGACCACGUUCCCCUUCUCCCUCGCCCAUGUCGAUGGCCCCUUCGACCUCGGCAGCUGCGGCUAGGGUUUCGCUGGUGCUCUCGCUCCUCAUCUUCGCGUCCUCGAUCUCGGUCUCCUCCUCCUCCUCCUCCUCCGCAUCUCCCAAAAAGAUCCUCGCCCACGCGUCGGCGGCGGCGACGGCGGGAGGGGCGGAGUGUCGGGAGCUGGGGUCGAGGGAGGAGUGCGCGCGGAGCCCGCGGCGGUGCCGGUGGUGCCGCAGCGACGCGAUCGACGACAUGUGCUUCGGAUCCGCCGAGGCGUGGCGCCUCCCCCACCAGGUCUUCUCCUGCGAUCCAAUUCCAGUCGCCGCCGCGUCCUAGUUCCUAGUAUUCCCCUCUCCUCUCUCCAGAAGCUUCUAUUUUUUUUUUUUUCUUUUCCUCUAAUUUCUCGUACUUGCUUCGAUCUGAGUAGCCUCAAUCUCCUUUUGAGCUCCCCUGUAAGAAAAAAGGAAAAAAAAAAAAAAAAACUGGUAUGUGUGUAUGUGUUCUUUUUUUUUUUUUUUGUUUUGUUUUAAUUAUUUUUACACGGAUCUGCAAUUGGAAAGUACAAAGAAAAAAAAAGAAAAGGAAAAAAAAAAGCCUGAGUUAGGGAUUAGGAUUCGUUCACCACCUUAUAGAAGAGAGGCACGCUUCUGAUGCUCUGAAUCAGUUUAUGGUUGAUUUAUGAUAGUUAUGUAGGUUUAUCAACACUUGCUUAUUUUAUAGUAACAGUUGGGCAGCUCUCGUAAACCUCUUUCUUCUUCUUCCUUUUUCCCCUUAUUUUUUGGGGGAUGUAGAAACACUACUGGAUUCAAGAACUUCGCCCGUGAAGUGUUACUAUUUCUCUAGUCCAAUGCACUGGUAGGGGGAAAGAAGGGUAAGAUCAAUGCUUAAAAUCCAAAUCGAACUAGUCCGAUUAUGACCCAGAAUUGGGAACAGUUCAGUUCAGUUCAGUUCAAGCGUGUAAAAUUGGAAACCCCCCCAAAAGAAAACCAUUUUAAACCAUUCGAACAGGUUGGUUCAAAAGGGUAGCAUUCCCAGGCCCAGCCACACAAGCCAGAUCCAAGCUCGCACUUUAAUGGAAAAGAAGAUAAAAAGAAAUCGUACAUAAUUUAUCUGAAUUAUAGAUAAUUUUAAUUUAGCUAUCUAAUUUUUCAAAAAUUUUACUGGUCAAUUUUUCGAUUCGUUUGACCUGAAUCAGUCGAUAAUAUUUUUAUUUUAAAAUUUGAAUAUAUCGUUUAUUUUCACAAAUUUAGAUAGCAUGCUUCGUGCCAUUCUCGCAAUUAUAAUUUAUUAAAAUAAAUAAUUAAUUGUAUAGUCAAAGUAUUAUUACUUGAUUCAAAAUCAAAUAAAUUAAAACAUUAAUUAGUAAAAUUAUUAUUUAAAAAAUUAAUUUAAAAUAAUUUAUAGUAAGAUGAAUUAUACACUUUUUUGUAUAGAGGAAAAGAUUUCUUCUUUUUAAAGUUUGGUUUAGCUUUUAACAAUUUGUGGGUGAGAGAAGGAAAAGGACGCUUAAAACUGAAGUAUCUUGUGAGCUUAUUAUUGGUCCUUUUCUUUUAUCUUCCCCCCAUCACAUCACAUGCCUAAUCUUUUAAUUUGAUGUUACCGAUUGGUGGGACUUAAUGAACUCUAGGGUAAACGUUUUGAUUGUUAUUAUUAUUAUUAUUAUUAUUAUUAUUAUUAUUAUACAUAUUAAAGUGCCAGUAAUGCUUCAAUACAAAUUAAAGAGGGUGUGUCAGUAAUGCUUCAAUACAAAUUAAAGAGGGUGUGUGUAUGUGUGUGUGUCUCUCUCUCUCUAUAUAUAUAUAUAUAUAUAUAGAGGAUAGGACUAAUAUACUCUUAUGAGUAUUGGGUCUUUCAUACUCAUAAGUUAUUUUUGAUGAUAGAGCUUCCGAAUCGACGAUCCACUCCGUUAAAUAUGAUUUAGAGUAUUUAAAAUUUCUAAAAAAUAAAUUUCAUAAUUUUUGAAAUUAUAAUAAAGUUCAUCAAACGAGUAUAAAAUGAACAGUCGAAAUUGAACGACGGCUUAAAAAUGGAUGAUCAGAUCCUUCAAUUUAAAAUCGGAGUUAUUGAUCUUUAUCUAUAUAGUGAAUAGAAUUUUCUAUCAAAAAUUUAACCGAUUCCAAUUUUUUUAAACCGUUAAACUAGCAAAUAUCUCAUACCGGCCGCUAAAAAUUGUUAAUUUUAUGAACUUUUGAUUGUAAGAUAAUUGAUAUCGAAAAAUUAUAAAAUUUGACUUCUAGAAGUUUUAAAUGCUCGAGAUAAUAUUUAACGGUAUGGAUCGUCGAUUCGGAAGCUCUAUUAUCGAAAAUAACUUAUGAGUACGAAGGCGGUCGUACUCAUAAAAGUAUAGUAGCCGGACUCUAUAUAUAUAUAUAUAGAAUUAGGUUACUAUACUAUCUAUAGUAUCAGAGUUCCGGUACUAUAUUCUUGUUUUCGAUCUUAGGGUGUUCAAAUUAAUGGUCCACACCGUUAAAUAUGAUAUAGGGUAUAUAAAGUUCUUAGGAAUAAAAUUUUAGUUUUUUUCGACAUCGUUUACUUAGUAAAUAAAUUAUGUCAAAAUGGACGGUGGAAAUUGAAUAAUCUUUAAAAUUUAAGCAUAUGACUUUUAAAUUCAAGAUCAAGAAUGUUAAUCUUAAUCUAAAUAGUUUAAAAUAUUUUCUAUCAAAAUUUGAAGAAAUUUAGAUUCUUCUACACCAUUAAACUUCAAACUCGUCAUAGUAGCCAUUAAAAAUUGACAAUUUUGAAGUGGUUUGAUCAUAAAGUAAACUAUGUCGAAAAAAUAUAAAAUUUUAUUUCUAAAAAUUUUAAAUACCUUAGAUCAGUUUUAACGGUGUGGAUCGUCGAUUUGAGUACCCUAAGAUCAUAAACGAGACUAUAGUAUCUGAGCCCCGAUACUAUAGAUAGUAUAGGAGACUAGCUCUAUAAAUAUAUAUGUAGAGUCCGGCUACUAUCUAUUAACCUAAAUGAAUUCCCAAUGUUUUUUACCACAUGGCAAGUUUUCUUUCAACCUUACUACCCCUUUUUUUGAACUCACAUUUGUUCUUGGCUUUUCCGCUCCCCUCCUCUUCAUUCAAUGACAAGUAAUUAAUGUGCUCUUUAAUUUAUAUGUUACUUAUUUUUCUCUUCAAUAUUAGUCAUUUCUUCUCCCUCAAAUCUCUUUUCAACGCCAAACCCUUCACCUCCCAAUCCUUUGAAAUCAUGAAAAUUAAUUAAUCGAAAAUGCAACAUUUAAUUAUAGGCACUAUAUUCCACAAAUAAAUCGGCUUUAUAACACCAAUCCACCCCCACCUCCAUUAAUCCCCCACUUCCCUCUCUUUUGCAUGACCUCUUAUUUUUCAUGCAAAAAAAAUAUCAUCAUUUAAUUUUUCACCCAAUACUCAUCUAGCUCUCUCUCUCUUAUUGUGUUAACGAAGAUGAUGAGGACGAUGAAGAAGAAGAAGAAGAGCAUGCGAAGAACGUUGUCUCCUUCGAGAAGCAUCGUUCCGCAAAAUCGAGCCGCGGCUCAUAUAAGUGCCCACUAGGUUAAUUUAGUUGCGCUGGAGCUAGCUCUUUUUUAUUUUUCACAACGGAAUGUUUAAGAUGCACAUAAUACGAUAAAAUUAUAUGUCUCUUACUGUAUUUCGAUGAUUUUAAAAUAUAUAUAUAAACUUCUAACUAUAAUUUAUUUUUUUAAUAGUUGAAUUUAGUCAUACAAAUUGAUUAUGUUUAACAUGGUUAUAGCUUCUUAGACAUCAAUAAGUUGUGAAUAUAAAUUUUAUUACAAUUUUGUUUCUAUUAUCUACCCGCUGCAUCGCGCGGGUCUCUAUACUAGUGCUAGUAAUAGCACGAAGCACUUGGUGUUACCAAGUUUUUCGCCGUUAGAUUUACCCUUUUGAUUAUUUUCAUCCGUUAGAUCAUACUAUUCAACGAACCAUCCACUUAACUAUAGGGGGUCCACAUCAUCCUAACCGCACAUCUCUUAAUCCAAUGGCCAAAAACUUGAUAGCACCAAUGACUUGGUGCUAUUAAUAGCAUAGUAGCCUAGUUCUAUAUAUGUAUAUAGUGUAUUGUUGUUAUACUUUCCAAAGCAUAACGAAAUUCGUACUUCUAACUUUUUGAUCUUUAGAUUAAGAAUGGUACAGCUAUGAUAAUAAUGAUCCUUCUAGAAUUGAGUGAUUUUUUUAUCAUUAAGUGGCCCCCAUAAAGUAAUAAUAUUAAUCCAAAAAUUACGAAGGAUCAAAGAGGUUGAUCCAAGAACUAAAAGGUCGGAAGUAUCAAUUACUUUAUACUUUCGAAAGCAUAAUAACUCUGCACUCUCUCUCUCUAUAUAUUUAGAUGGAUAGACAGAUAAAAAGAUAAAUAUAUAGUAACAAUCACUAGUUCACUUACACAUAAGCACACAGAAAAAGAGAGAAGAGAUGGAAAAAUAUUUCAGGGAUACUCAUUUUCGCUAAUAAACCUAAUGUAUGGGCCUCCGUCACUUUGAGCCUGGAAAAGCCCAUUACACCAAUUUUCAAUGGAUGGUCCAACCCGUUUCAAAGUUAUAUUUUUUAGAAUUUUUUUUUUUUAACUAGUUAUUUGCAACUACCCUUCCAUGUAAACUUAAGUACUUUUCAAGAGUAUUAUCAUCUCCAAAGUUAAAUAUAGCCAUAGCCCAUACGAAGAAGAAAAAUCAAUGCCAAAUUACAAAAAAUUCGAACAUGUUUGCCUGUAUCUCUAAUAUUAAUCCACCUAUCAUAAGUAGCACAGUUGGUUAAAAAAAUUGCUUCAUAUUUUUUGCUGAAUUUAUUUGUAAAAAAAAUGAACAAAACAGAUAGCAAGUUACGUUUUCUCUCAAAAAAAUUUCCUAAUGGACUAACCAUUAGGAGCUUACAUGGUUUGGUCCUAAGCGGAACCAAACCAAAUAAGACUAUUUAGUUUAGUUUAUAUUGUUUUCGAUUUGAUUCAAUUUUCAAAUUUACUAAAAUUUGGUUUUCGAUUUCCAUUCGAUUUGAACGUAUUUCUUAGCCGAACCCAAACCGAAAACUGAAGAGUAUUAUAUUUUACAUUUCUUAUCUAAACUAUUUAUUAAAAUUUUAUAUUAAAGAUCAAAUCUUGAUCAUAUAGGUUAGAUGUGCUUUGAAAUUUAGUUAUCGACUUUAAUUUUGCGUUUCUGAUUUGUGGAUAGUUUUGAGAUACGAUAAAUUUAAAAAAAAAAAUUUGUGAAAAAAAAAUAAAUAUUUGUGUUAGGUAGCAAAAGGCUUAGGCUCCGCCAACCCAACGAUGAAGAAACCAGUUAACGAAUUUUUUUUUCCUUGUGCCCUAGAGGGGAUAUAGCAUAUUGUACUUUUCACAAUCUCUUUUUGACAAUAAACUUUGCUUUUACUUUUUUUACUUAAUUUAUUUUAUUUUGUAACUCUUUAUUUUUAAUUUUUAAGAAUUUGUAACUACAUACACAAUAGUAUAAAUUUAGAAAAAAAAAUUCAAUGCAAUAGCCGAAUUUUUUAUCCUGAAUUUUUAAUUGAUGAAUAUAUAAUUUUCGUAUGAAUAGUAUAUUUGAAUAAUUCACGAAAUUAUUUUUUAAUUUAUAUUUUUUAAUAAAUUUAAAAAUUAAAAUAAGAAUUCUAUUCGAAUAUAAUUCCUACUUUAAUUUUUAUCGAAUAUCCACGGAUGCGGGACCCACAAUGCACACUGUCGUCUCUUCUUUCCGGGUAUGAAUCCGACAACAAGUCAGCCACGUGACGUCGGAGUCAACGCACAAAUCAAAGAGACAGCUGGACUUAUCCACAAAAAAAAAUAAAAAUAAAAACACUUCACGAUCCCACCGUCCGAUUCCUGCAAGUGGGGAUGCGUAGCACCGCGUUUUCUCGGGAUUCCAAAUUUCCUGGCGGCGCCGGGAGAAAGCCCACGUGUGUUUAGAUUACUAAUUUUGAGUACCUAACUUUUUUCCACCAUUUUGAAUUGAUCAUUUAUUUUUUUUUCAAAUUUUAAUUUUAAUUUUAAUGUUCAAUUUUUUAAUUUAUUACUGAGUUAGUCAACAAUGGUUUUUUUAAAAAAAAUUUGAAUGCAUAAUUUAUUUUUACAUAUUUAGUUAGCAUUUUUUAUAUAAUUAACAUAACUAUAAAUUUAUUAAAAUAAAAAUUAGUAACAAAAUUACCAUUUCAGAUAUAAAAAUAU